UACGUAGGGUGCGAGCGUUAAUCGGAAUUACUGGGCGUAAAGCGUGCGCAGGCGGUGAUGUAAGACAGAUGUGAAAUCCCCGGGCUCAACCCGGGAACUGCGUCCGAUACUGGGAGGCUUGAAUCCGGGAGAGGGAUGUGGAAUUCCAGGUGUAGCGGUGAAAUGCGUAGAUAUCCGGAGGAACACCGGUGGCGAAGGCGGCAUCCUGGACCGGUAUUGACGCUGAGGCGCGAAAGCCAGGGGAGCAAACGGG
rnacentral:rRNA from 1 species